CCUACGGGGGGCAGCAGGCGCGAAAACUUUACAAUGCGGGAAACCGUGAUAAGGGAACUCCGAGUGCCCGUAAAAUCGGGCUGUCCAUUUGUUUAAAAAACAAGUGAAGAAAGGGCCGGGCAAGACCGGUGCCAGCCGCCGCGGUAAUACCGGCGGCUCGAGUGGUGGCCACUAUUACUGGGCUUAAAGCGUUCGUAGCUGGUUUGUUAAGUCUCUGGGGAAAUCUUCCGGCUUAACCGGAAGGCGUUUCAGGGAUACUGGCAGACUAGGGACCGGGAGAGGUGAGGGGUACUUCAGGGGUAGGAGUGAAAUCCUGUAAUCCUUGAGGGACCACCUGUGGCGAAGGCGCCUCACCAGAACGGCUCCGACAGUGAGGGACGAAAGCUGGGGGAGCAAACCGGAUUAGAUACCCUCGUAGUCC
rnacentral:rRNA from 1 species